CACCCCCGCGCCCGGACGAGGGGAAUGCGUUCGGGCAAGCGUCAUUAGGAGGAAUCGAAUAAAACGCGAUCGAACUAUAUUUGCAAAUUAUAAAAUUACUGAACAUAAUAUCUAAAGACUACAGCCUUGUGUACCCCGAAUUGGGGUUCACCCGCUUGCUUAGUGCUCUGCCCUACUGCCUGCUACUACCGUCGGUCACACCGGGUCCAGUCGUGUUCCACGGGAGUGGUUGCAUGACCCUUUUGCCUGCUGCAGUUUACCUACGGGUGCCACCUACUGCUUGCUGCUGUAGCAAGAGGAGUGUACGCUACUGCACUCCGCGCCACGCACCAGGAACCCAAGGCCAGUGUAUUCAAUCGGUGGAGAAUGUGUUUUGGACAAUGGAUGUUCUAAUACCCCUUAUAGAAUAAGUACCUUAUAUAAUAUUUUGUUUACCUUUAUUACAUAUUUUGUUAGCC